rnacentral:lncRNA from 12 species
CAGGCUUUGGGCUAUCCAGUCUUGGAUGUGGAUUAGGCAGAGCACCUUGGAAGCUCAGCUCAGGGUGGGAUUGGAGCAGUGUUGGAACCACCAUGGAUUCUCCCAAGCCCCGGCUGGUGUUCCCUGAGUGACUGCAGUUCCCUGGGUGUGGAGGGGGAAGGUCUCUGCUGGAGAGUGGGAGAAAUGUCCCUGCUGGUUGCUGGGUCCUUGGUGGGCAGAGAACUCUGCUCUUG